rnacentral:rRNA from 1 species
AUUGAACGCUGGCGGCAGGCCUAACACAUGCAAGUCGAACGAGUGGCGGACGUGUGAGUAAUGUCUGGGAAAGUGCCUGAUGGAGGGGGAUAACUACUGGACACGGUAGCUACUACCGCAUUACUUCAGAUGUGCCCAUAUGGGAUUAGCUUGUUGGUGGGGUAACGGCUCACCAAGGCGACGAUCCCUAGCUGGUCUGAGAGGAUGACCAGCCACACUGGAACUGAGACACGGUCCAUACUCCUACGGGAGGCAGCAGUGGGGAAUAUUGGACAAUGGGCGCAAGCCUGAUGCAGCCAUGCCGCGUGUAUGAAGAAGGCCUUCGGGUUGUAAAGUACUUUAAGCGGGGAGGCGUUACCCGCAGAAGAAGCACCGGCUAACUCCGUGCCAGCAGCCGCGGUAAUUC